ensembl:misc_RNA 7SK 7SK RNA
UGAUCUGACUGCGACAUCUGUCACCUCAUUGAUGUCCAGGGUUGAUUCGGCUGAUCUAGCUGGCUAGGCGGGUGUCCCCCUCUUCCCUCACUGCUCCACGCACAUUCCUCCCAAAGCUGUGUGCUCUGUCCAAGAGGACAACCAUCCCGGAUAGAGAAGGCCCGCUCUUCGCUCAAGGGUAUACGAGCAGCUGGGUCCCCUGCUAGAACCUCCAAACAAGCUUUCAACAUCUCUGUUUUUUUUAAUUAGUUCUUACUUCUUACUUCUUAAUAUCUAAUCUUUUUAAAACUCUUAUCAUAU